CAAGGGCUUGAGCUCCAAAUUCCCAAAAAAGACCCAUGCACUAAAUACUUAACCAAGCCAUUUUAAACAUUUCUGAAUCUCUGAAUCCUGUACAUCUCAACUAUCCAGUUCUUUUAGUUUCAUAAACUAAAGAUGUCACAUUCGUCUCUACUAAAAAAUACAAAAAAAAAUUAGCUGGGCAUGGUGGCGGGUGCCUGUAGUCCCACUACUCGGGAGGCUAAGGCAGGAGAAUGGCGUGAACCCAGGAGGUGGAGCUUGUAGUGAGCCUAGAUCACACCACUGCACUCCAGCCUGGGUGACAAAGAAAGACUCCAUCUCAAAAAAAAAAAGAACUAUCUGCAGAAAUAAUGGCUUUUCUGCAGAGAUUAUGCCUUUCUUUCUUCUCCAAAUUUCUAGCAAUAUGAAUAAAAGACCCUAGAGUAAAAGGCAUAGGUGUAAAUGCAGUCCCUCAAGACUAAGAAAGCU
rnacentral:lncRNA from 10 species